UACGUAGGGGGCAAGCGUUGUCCGGAUUCAUUGGGCGUAAAGAGCGUGUAGGCGGCCAGGUAGGUCGGUUGUGAAAACUGGAGGCUCAACCUUCAGAGGUCGACCGAAACCAUCUGGCUAGAGUCCGGGAGAGGAGAAUGGAAUUCCUGGUGUAGCGGUGAAAUGCGCAGAUAUCAGGAAGAACACCCGUGGCGAAAGCGGCUCUCUGGAACGGUACUGACGCUGAGACGCGAAAGCGUGGGGAGCGAACAGG
rnacentral:rRNA from 1 species